rnacentral:rRNA from 1 species
CAUGAAGCCGGAAUUGCUAGUAAUGGCAGGUCAGCAUACUGCCGUGAAUACGUUCCCGGGCCUUGUACACACCGCCCGUCACACCAUGAGAGUUGGGGAUACCCGAAGCCUGUGAGCUAACUUUUAGAGGCAGCAGUCGAAGGUAGAAUCAAUGAUUGGGGUGAAGUCGUAACAAGGUAUC